rnacentral:rRNA from 1 species
AGAAUCAACGCUGGCGGCGUGCCUAACACAUGCAAGUCGAACGAGAAAGUGGAGCAAUCCAUGAGUAAAGUGGCGCACGGGUGAGUAACACGUGACUAACCUACCCUUGAGUGGGGGAUAACCUAGGGAAACCUGGGCUAAUACCGCAUAAUACCUUCGGGUCAAAGGAGCAAUUCGCUUAAGGAGGGGUACGCGGCCGAUUAGUUAGUUGGCGGGGUAAUGGCCCACCAAGACUGUGAUCGGUA